UGAGACUUAAGCUGAGGAUUCACCAAGCUUAAAACUAUCCAGGUUGAUAUGAUUACUGUCCAGUGGAAGCAAGAGAAAGACAGGGCAUGGGAAAAAGAACAAAGCGGGGAAGAGGAAAUACUAUUUCUAUCAAAAAGAAACAAUGGAGGCUACUUCCUGAGUAGGCUAGAUGUUUGAUGAUCUAUCCCAGUGCCACCUGGUUUCAACGAACACAGCUGGGAUAUGUGAGCAAGCAGAUGGAUAUUCAGUGAAUAAUAAUGUGCCUACAACAGCAGGAUCAAAACCAAAAGAAAAGUAUUGGUGAAAGACAUAUAACCUACUAGG
rnacentral:lncRNA from 1 species